rnacentral:tRNA from 1 species
AAAAAUUUAGUUAAUUUAUAACAUUAGAUUGUCAAACUAAAAUAAUCAAAUUAUAUUGAUAAUUUUUA